CCCAGCUGUUAUGAUGUUUAAUCUAGAGUUGCCAACUUCUGAUCCGGCAGUUCCAGAACACAGGAUCUGUAGAACAGAAGUCUGGCAUGGGAUGGCAUGGAUUCUUUGCUCAAGAUCUCACAAAGCCAAAAUCAAGAUGUUGGUAGGGCUGCAUUCCUUUUCCACGGCAAUUGGGAAGAAUUUGUAUCCAAGCUCUAUCCAAGAGACACACUGCAUUGCCCAGACUGGUCUCGAACUCUUGGGUACAAGCAAUCAUCUUAGUAGCUGGUAUUACACACGUGUGCCACUGUGGCUGACUUACUGGCUACAGUCUUGGAGUUUCUGUAUUUAGAAUUUCUAUUUUAAGAUGGCUUUAGAGUGGUAUGACUUAAAUAAUUACUCUGUAAGAAAUGGACCAGUUAAGUAUGAGUCUAAUUUUGCUCCUAUAAUGCAUAAG
rnacentral:lncRNA from 13 species